rnacentral:rRNA from 1 species
AUUGCACGCUGGCGGCAGGCCUAACACAUGCAAGUCGAACGAGUGGCGGACGGGUGAGUAAUGUCUGGGAAACUGCCUGAUGGAGGGGGAUAACUACUGGAAACGGUAGCUCAUACCGCAUACCAUCAGAUGUGCCCAGAUGGGAUUAGCUAGUUUGUGGGGUAACGGCUCACCAAGGCGACGAUCCCUAGCUGGUCUGAGAGGAUGACGAGGCACACUGGAACUGAGACCCGGUGCAGAAGCGUACGGGAGGCAGCAAUGGGGAAGAAUGCACAAUGGGCGCAAGCCUGAUGCAGGCAAGCCGCGUGUAUGAAGAGGGCCUUCGGUUUGUAAAGUACUUUCAGCGGGGAGGCGUAACCCGCAGAAGAAGCACCGGCUAACUCCGUGCCAGCAGCCGCGGUAAUAC